rnacentral:rRNA from 1 species
UACAGAGGUCUCAAGCGUUGUUCGGAAUUACUGGGCGUAAAGGGCGAGUAGGUGGCCAUCUAAGUCAGACGUGAAAUCCCCCGGCUUAACCUGGGAACUGCGUCUGAUACUGGACGGCUUGAGUAUGGGAGAGGAACGUAGAAUUCCAGGUGUAGCGGUGAAAUGCGUAGAUAUCUGGAGGAACACCGGUGGCGAAGGCGGCAUCCUGGACCAUGACUGACGCUGAGGAGCGAAAGCCAGGGGAGCAAACGGG